AGUGAACGCUGGCGGCGUGCUUAACACAUGCAAGUCGAACGAGAACGGAUUAUAGCUUGCUAUAAUUGUCAGCUAAGUGGCGCACGGGUGAGUAAUGUAUAGGUAAUAUGCCUCUUACUAAGGGGUAACAAAUGGAAACGUUUGCUAAUACCUUAUACUCCUUAUUAACAGAAGUUAAUAAGGGAAAGAUUUAUUGGUAAGAGAUUAGCCUGUAUUGUAUCAGUUAGUUGGUGGGGUAAUGGCUUACCAAGACUAUGACACAUAACUGGUUUGAGAGGAUGAUCAGUCACACUGGAACUGAGACACGGUCCAGACUCCUACGGGAGGCAGCAGUGGGGAAUAUUGCACAAUGGACGAAAGUCUGAUGCAGCAACGCCGCGUGGAGGAUGACACAUUUCGGUGCAUAAACUCCUUUUAUAUGAGAAGAUAAUGACGGUAUUAUAUGAAUAAGCACCGGCUAACUCCGUGCCAGCAGCCGCCGUAA
rnacentral:rRNA from 1 species